UGGUCAAGCGAAGGAAGGCAUGUGGGGGAUGCCUGGGCACACGGAGGCGAGGAAGGCCGUGGUAAGCUGCGAGAAGCUCGGGGGAGUGGCACACACGCGGUGAUCCCGAGAUGGCCGAAUGGGGCAACCCGGCUGGCGGCGACGCCAGUCAUCACUUCUUCGGAAGUGAAGCGAACCCAGGGAACUGAAACAUCUCAGUACCUGGAGGAAGAGAAAUCAACCGAGAUGUCCGGAGUAGCGGCGAGCGAAACGGACCCAAGCCCAAACCGUGCUCCUUGUGGGUGCGGGGUUGUAGGACCUGCGGACGCGGCACAGCAGGCUACGUGAACUCCCCUGGAACGGGGGGCCAGAGACGGUGAGAGCCCGGUAGCGGAAAGCGAGCCUGUGUCGUAGCAGUGUUCCUGAGUAGCGCCCGGAACGAGAAACCGGGCGCGAAGCUGGGGGGACCACCCUCCAAGGCUAAAGACUCCCGUGUGACCGAUAGUGGACGAGUACCGUGAGGGACAGGUGAAAAGCACCCCCGUGCGGGGAGUGAAAGAGCGCCUGAAACCACAUGCCUACAAGCGGUAGGAGGCGGCUGGGCUCUUCGGAGCGCCUGCGCGCUGACUGCGUGCCUUUUGCAUUAUGAUCCGGCGAGUUGCUACUCGGAUGCGAGGCUAAGCUGCUCUGCAGCGGAGCCGCAGCGAAAGCGAGUCCUGUCACGAGGGCGACGGAGUAUCCGGGUGCAGACCCGAAGCCAGGGCGAUCUACCCAUGAGCAGGGUGAAGCUGGGGUAACACCCAGUGGAGGCCCGAACCGGUGUGGGUUGAAAACCGCUCGGAUGACUUGUGGGUAGGGGUGAAAGGCCAAUCAAGCCUGGAGAUAGCUGGUUCUCCCCGAAAUCUAUUGAGGUAGGGCCUCGAGGCGGCGUUCGCGCCGAAUGUCAGCAGGGGGUAGAGCGACUGGAUGGGCGCGGGGGCCAAAGCGGCCUACCAACCCCAACCAAACUCCGAAUACCUGACUGAUGGACCUCGGGAGGCAGUCGCUGAGCGAUAAUGUCCAGCGGCGAGAGGGAAAGAACCCAGAGCCACAGCUAAGGCCCCGAAGUGGCCGCUGAGUAUAGCGAAGGAUGUGUUCGUGCCGUGACAACCAGGAGGUUGGCUUAGAAGCAGCCAUUCCUUUAAAGAGUGCGUAAUAGCUCACUGGUCCAGCGUGAAUGCGCCGAGAAUGGUCGGGAUUAAGCGGCCCGCCGAAGCUUGGCCUUGAUACUUUGGUAUCAGGGGUAGGGGAGCGUUCCCGUCACAGUGAAGCCCCGGUGGAAACCGUGGGGUGGAGUAGCGGGAAGUGAGGAUGCCGGAAUGAGUACGCGCAAAUCCAAGUGAAAACCUUGGACACCGUAAACCCAAGGGUUCCUGCGCCAUGGCAAUCAGCGCAGGGUGAGGCGGACCCUAAGGCGAGGCCCCAAAGGCGUAGCCGAUGGACAGCCGGUUGACAUUCCGGCCCCGUCUUGCAGUGUCGAAACCAUCAGGGACACCGAAACGACGCGUAUGCGGUUGUGUGGAUUGACCGUCUAAGCCUGUAGGCGCAAGCCGAGAGGUGAUGGCAAGGUGCGGCUUCGGCCAAGCCGAGAUACGUAGAGUCUGCGGGCAAGAAAAGCUGGUGGUGGAGCUGCACGACGUCCGUACCGGAAACCGACACAGGUGGGUGAGGCGAGUAGCCUCAGGUGAACGAGUGAAACGUGGUCAAGGAACUCGGCAUAAUGAUCCCGUAACUUCGGAAGAAGGGAUGCCUCCCGCUGUUGCUCACCUCGCGUGAGUUGCGGUGGAAGGCCGCAGAGAAUCGGCCCAAGCGACUGUUUAGCAAAAACACAGGUGCGUGCCAAGCCGCAUAAGGCGCCGUAUACGCACUGACGCCUGCCCGGUGCCGGAAGGUUAAGGGGAGAGGUUAGCGGUCUUCGGACUGCGACGCUUUGAGCCGAAGCCCCGGUAAACGGCGGCCGUAACUAUAACGGUCCUAAGGUAGCGAAAUUCCUUGUCGGGUAAGUUCCGACCUGCACGAAUGGCGUAACGACUUGGGCACUGUCUCGACCACGUGCUCGGCGAAAUUGCAGUCUCGGUGAGGAUUCCGAGUCCCCGCGACAGGACAAAAAGACCCCAUGCACCUUUACUGCAGCUUGUCAUUGGACAUUGCACUUCGCUGUGUAGCAUAGGUGGGAGCCGUCGAGCCCCGGGCGCUAGCUCGGGGGGAGGCACCAGUGAAAUACCACCCUGCGUAGUGCGAUGCCCUCACCACGGAGAGCACACCUCUUCUGGGACCGUGGCAGGCGGGCAGUUUGACUGGGGCGGUCGCCUCCGAAAGCGUAACGGAGGCGCGCGCAAGGUUGGCUCAGCGCGGUCGGUACUCGCGCUUCUAGAGUGUAACGGCAGAAGCCAGCCUGACGGUGAGACCGACGGGUCGAACCGCCACGAAAGUGGGCCGUAGUGAUCCGGUAGCCCGGGGUGGAGCGGCUAUCGCGCAACGGAUAAAAGGUACGCUGGGGAUAACAGGCUUAUCGCGCCCGAGAGUUCACAUCGACGGCGCGGUUUGGCACCUCGAUGUCGGCUUAUCACAUCCUGGGGCUGGAGAAGGUCCCAAGGGUCCGGCUGUUCGCCGGUUAAAGUGGUACAUGAGCUGGGUUCAGAACGUCGUGAGACAGUUCGGUCUGUAUCCGUCGUGGGCGGUGGAGUGUUGAGGGGAGCGGACCCUAGUACGAGAGGACCGGGUCGGACAAUCCGCUCGUGUCCCGGCUGUCCUGCCAAGGGCACCGCCGGGUAGCGAUGAUUGGCUGUGAUAACCGCUGAAUGCAUCUAAGUGGGAAGCACGCCCCAAGAUGAACACUCCCAGGGCCUUGAGCCCUCUGAAGGGCCGGGGGAGACCACCCCGUCGAUAGGCCGCCCGUGGACGUGCCGCAAGGCACUCCGAGCGCAGCGGUCCUAAUCGCCCGUGCGGCUUGACUACUCCCAUU
rnacentral:rRNA from 1 species